AUUGAACGCUGGCGGCAGGCCUAACACAUGCAAGUCGAACGGUAACAGGAAGCAGCUUGCUGCUUCGCUGACGAGUGGCGGACGGGUGAGUAAUGUCUGGGAAGCUGCCUGAUGGAGGGGGAUAACUACUGGAAACGGUAGCUAAUACCGCAUAAUGUCGCAAGACCAAAGAGGGGGACCUUCGGGCCUCUUGCCAUCGGAUGUGCCCAGAUGGGAUUAGCUUGUUGGUGGGGUAACGGCUCACCAAGGCGACGAUCCCUAGCUGGUCUGAGAGGAUGACCAGCCACACUGGAACUGAGACACGGUCCAGACUCCUACGGGAGGCAGCAGUGGGGAAUAUUGGACAAUGGGCGCAAGCCUGAUGCAGCCAUGCCGCGUGUAUGAAGAAGGCCUUCGGGUUGUAAAGUACUUUCAGCGGGGAGGAAGGGAGUAAAGUUAAUACCUUUGCUCAUUGACGUUACCCGCAGAAGAAGCACCGGCUAACUCCGUG
rnacentral:rRNA from 1 species